CUCUUCUCUCUGUCUUUCAUCUCGUCACUCAAUCUCUGGCUUUCAUCUCAUCUGCUAACUCUCUCUCUCUUUCUCUUCGCCGCCAGAACAGAGAAAGUAAGCGAUGAAGAAGACGGGAAAAAAGUUAGACGGAGGAGGGAGGUCGCUCUCUGAACAAAAGCAGAGGGUUCUUCGUUGUCGUUUGGAGACCUUCAAGCACCUGCGCUCCUCCUCUCUGGACGAAAUCGUCCACCAACUUCGCAAUAAUUACCGAGACUACCACCGCAUCAAGCUCCAGUCCUUCACGAAGUUCGUCCAGCAAACCCUAGACUCGCCUUCCUUCAAGCAAUCCAAAACCCUAAUCCAUGUCAGUGACUUAGAAGAAGAUGAAGAUGAAGAAGAAGAAGAAGAAAACGGCCAAAGCAAUUCCCAGAGAAGGCGGAAGCGUGCUGCUAGUAAGGGCGAGGAUAAAUUGCAGCGAAUGGAGUCUGCUCACCUCAGAAGGGUUCGUCAAAGGAAUGGUGACCGUCCAUCUACAUCUUCUUCUUCUGAUGAUGCUGAUGAAGAUGGGUCUGUGUCGACGUCGGAGGACGCGAUAUACAGCGAGAAAGUGGACCCGGAGUUUGAUGUGAUGAAAUCGAGUCUCCGAGCAUCGUAUAUGGAAUCGAACAGCGCCUUGAAGCCCAAGGCAGCCGAGGAGCAGAAGGAGAAGAAUGUAGAAAUGGAGCUUCCUGCUCGCGAGCAAGUUGAGUUAAUGGGUGGAAAUGGAGGGCCAAGGCGGCCAAAGACAUUGCUAACACCUGAAGCCAAGGGCUCGGUUUCUACAGGGGUUGAGGUGAAGGGAAGCGAGGGUCCGAGGUUUAGUGACUUAGGUGGGAUGGAGAAGGUGAUAGAGGAGCUGAAGAUGGAGGUGAUUGUGCCGCUGCGCCAUCCCGAGCUGCCUAGGUGGCUCGGAGUCAGGCCAAUGUCUGGGAUUCUGUUGUACGGCCCACCCGGGUGUGGCAAGACCAAAUUGGCUCAUGCCAUUGCCAAUGAAACCGGCAUUCCGUUUUAUAAAAUUUCUGCUACAGAAGUCGUCUCUGGUGUCUCAGGUGCAUCUGAAGAAAAUAUAAGAGAGCUUUUUUCUAAAGCUUAUAGAACUGCCCCUUCAAUUGUAUUUAUUGAUGAAAUUGAUGCAAUUGCUUCGAAAAGAGAAAGUUUGCAACGAGAAAUGGAGAGGCGGAUCGUGACACAACUAAUGACUUGCAUGGAUGAAUCUCAUAGGCUUGUACAACCGGCUGAUGCAAAUUCCAACUCCGAGAGUUUUGAUAACAAGUCUGGUUAUGUUCUUGUUAUUGGAGCUACCAAUAGGCCUGAUGCUGUUGACCAUGCUCUGAGGAGGCCUGGGAGAUUUGACCGUGAGAUUGUUUUAGGUGUUCCAGAUGAAAAUGCCAGGGUUCAGAUUCUUUCUGUGCUUACACGCAAUCUAAGACUUGAAGGUUCUUUUGAUCUUCUUAAAAUAGCCAGGUCUACACCAGGGUUUGUUGGGGCUGAUUUGGCAGCCCUGGCCGACAGGGCUGGUAACAUUGCCAUGAAAAGGAUUAUACACAAGAGGAAGACUGAUAUGUCUAUAGAUUCUAUGAAUGAGGAGUGCAAUGAAGAGUGGUGGAGACAACCAUGGUCGCCUGAAGAAAUGGGAAGGCUUACUAUCAGUAUGGCUGAUUUUGAGGAAGCAGUUCAAGUGGUUCAGCCUUCAUCAAAAAGAGAAGGAUUCUCUGCAAUUCCUAAUGUAAAAUGGGAAGAUGUUGGUGGGUUAGAUCUUUUAAGGCAGGAAUUUGAUCGUUAUAUAGUUAGGCGUGUUAAAUAUCCUGAGAACUAUGAGGAAUUUGGAGUAGAUUUAGAGACAGGAUUUUUGCUUUAUGGGCCUCCAGGAUGUGGUAAAACACUGAUAGCGAAGGCUGUUGCUAAUGAAGCAGGAGCCAAUUUCAUUCACAUUAAGGGCCCUGAACUUCUGAAUAAAUAUGUUGGAGAAAGUGAGUUGGCAGUUAGGACAUUGUUUAGUCGCGCAAGGACGUGCUCACCAUGCAUACUUUUCUUUGAUGAGGUGGAUGCCUUAACAACAAAGCGGGGGAAAGAAGGAGGAUGGGUUGUUGAACGGCUAUUGAACCAGUUGCUUAUAGAGUUAGAUGGUGCAGAGCAGCGGCGGGGUGUAUUUGUUAUUGGUGCCACUAAUAGACCCGAUGUCAUGGACCGUGCUGUAUUGCGGCCCGGUAGGUUUGGUAAACUUAUUUAUGUCUCCCCGCCCACAAAAGACGAGCGUGGUUUGAUUUUAAAAGCUCUUGCGAGGAAGAAGCCUAUAGAUGCCAGCGUAGAUCUCAGUGAGAUUGGACAAAGGGAAACUUGUGAAAAUUUUAGUGGAGCUGAUCUUGCUGCACUGAUGAAUGAAGCGGCUAUGGCUGCUCUUGAAGAAAAACUGACAUCCACACCUGAGAGGAAUUCAGAUGCAUCUCCAUGGACUAUCAAAGACACUCACUUUGAGCAAGCACUGGCUAAAAUUGCACCAUCUGUAACAGACAAGCAAAUGCAAUACUACCAGAAAUUUGGAGAGAGCCUCAAAGCACCAAGAAACAAAGCCUAAGCCAGAAAUGUCCCAUUGAAGAGCUAUAAACAACCCUGUACUCAAAGAAAUCCUGGUAAGCAGCAACAUCUCCAAAGCUGCUUCUGUCCUUGUAUAUUGCAUUGUCACUCCCGUGCUAGAAGAAACUGUUUACAGGUGAUUUUUACUAGGGUCAAUUUCGUCCACUAUGAAAUGGCAGUCAGCAGUUUUGAUAAGCUCAGCUAUUUUCAGUGCAGCUCACCCGUCUGCUGAUCCCAACCGCAUGCGGCUCAAGCACAUGGUUACUCAACAACCAUGCACAGGAAUUUGUCACUUAACUAGGAUGCACGGGUCCCAUCGUUCAAGGGGCGCACUGUGUGUAGAGUCCAACGACACUCCGAAUGAACCCAAAGCAAGUCCAACACUUGGGAAUCCACUUACGGAUAUAUCUUUGAUUGUAUCUAUCAUGGAACAAACUAAGAACAUGUUGUUACAUAUCAUUGAGAAAUGUUUUACUCAUAUCCGUUGUACUGCUAAUAGAGCGGUGGGACAUUCUUUUUCUUGAUUUGAGGAGCGUCCUGAUAUUAUUUGUGAUAUUCUUUUUAAAGGAUUGUGAUUUGUAGUGGCUUAUGGGA